rnacentral:misc_RNA from 1 species
AGCAGCCGCGGUAAUUCCAGCUCCAAUAGCGUAUAUUAAAGUUGUUGCAGUUAAAAAGCUCGUAGUUGAAUUUCGGGAUCAGUUGGUCGGUCGUGCCUCGGUACGUACUGGUCAAAUUGAUUCCUACCUUCUGACGAACCACGAUGUCAUUAAUUUGGUGUCGCGGGAAAUCAGGACUGUUACUUUGAAAAAAUUAGAGUGUUUAUAGCAGGCUCGCGCUUGAAUACAUUAGCAUGGAAUAAUGAAAUAGGACGUUUGAUUCUAUUUUGUUGGUUUCUAGGAUCGACGUAAUGAUUAAUAGGGAUAGUUGGGGGCAUUAGUAUUCAAUUGUCAGAGGUGAAAUUCUUGGAUUUAUUGAAGACUAACUACUGCGAAAGCAUUUGCCAAGGAUGUUUUCAUUAAUCAAGAACGAAAGUUAGGGGAUCGAAGACGAUCAGAUACCGUCGUAGU